rnacentral:rRNA from 1 species
UACGUAGGGGGCAAGCGUUGUCCGGAUUUACUGGGCGUAAAGAGCGUGUAGGCGGCCAGGCAGGUCUGUUGUGAAAACUGGAGGCUCAACUUCCAGACGUCGACAGAAACCGCUUGGCUAGAGUCCGGAAGAGGAGAGUGGAAUUCCUGGUGUAGCGGUGAAAUGCGCAGAUAUCAGGAAGAACACCAAUGGCGAAGGCAGCUCGCUGGGACGUGACUGACGCUGAGACGCGAAAGCGUGGGGAGCAAACAGG